CCUACGGGAGGCAGCAGUAGGGAAUCUUCCACAAUGGACGAAAGUCUGAUGGAGCAACGCCGCGUGAGUGAAGAAGGGUUUCGGCUCGUAAAGCUCUGUUGGAAGCGAAGAAAGAGAGAGGUAGUAACUGGCCUUUAUUUGACGAUAAUUACUUAGAAAGUCCCGGCUAACUACGUGCCAGCAGCCGCGGUAAUACGUAGGUGGCAAGCGUUGUCCGGAGUUAUUGGGAGUAAAGCGAGUGCAGGCGGAUCAAUAAGUCUGAUGUGAAAACCUUCGGCUCAACCGGCGAAUUGCAUCAGAAACUGUUGAACUUGAGUGCAUAAGGGGAGAGUGGAACAUCAUGUGUAGCGGUGGAAUGCGUAGAUAUAUGGAAGAACACCAGUGGCGAAGGCGGCUCUCUGGUCUGCAACUGACGCUGAGGCUCGAAAGCAUGGGUAGCGAACAGGAUUAGAUACCCGGGUAGUC
rnacentral:rRNA from 1 species